GAUGAACGCUGGCGGCGUGCCUAACACAUGCAAGUCGAACGGAGAUUACGGACGGAAGUUUUCGGAUGGAAGACUGUAAUUCUUAGUGGCGGACGGGUGAGUAACGCGUGGGCAACCUGCCCUAUACAGGGGGAUAGCAGCUGGAAACGGCUGGUAAGACCGCAUAAGUCGGUUAAAUCGCAUGAUUUGAUCGGGAAAUGAGCAAUCAGGUAUAGGAUGGGCCCGCGUCCGAUUAGCCAGUUGGCAGGGUAAAAGCCUACCAAAGCGACGAUCGGUAGCCGGACUGAGAGGUCGGACGGCCACAUUGGGACUGAGACACGGCCCAAACUCCUACGCGAGGCAGCAGUGGGGGAUAUUGCACAAUGGAGGAAACUCUGAUGCAGCGACGCCGCGUGAGUGAAGAAGUAUUUCGGUAUGUAAAGCUCUAUCAGCAGGGAAGAUGAUGACGGUACCUGACUAAGAAGCCCCGGCUAACUACGUG
rnacentral:rRNA from 1 species